rnacentral:lncRNA from 1 species
GGCGUGCAUAAGAGAGAGAGGAAAGCAUGCAGACAGGACUUACAUGUUUGCCUUAUGUAAUUAUUUUUACUAUUUUUUUCUACUUUUGACGCUGGACACGUGAGGGGUUGCUGUCAGCCUUCCACUUCUCGCUUGUGUCAAAGAGAGAAAGAGACCAUGUAUUUUGUACUUUUAUUUUCUUCAAAAGUAUAUAGGCCAACCUUACGUGCUUGUCCUAUAUGAUCUCUCCAAUGGCCUAAAUAUAUAGAAAAUAGAGCAAAAUAAGAAAAAAAAUAUCUCCAAAUGGUUAAUAUGUGAGAAGAAAAAAAAAUUAAAAAAAGUAGAAACCUUUGAUUUUUUUCCCUUCUUUUCUCUCAAGCAAAAUCUAUUUAAAAUCAAAGAAAAAAAGUAAAGAAAAUUUCGUAGGUAGAACGGAGGAGGAAGAAAUUUUCUUUGGAAUUUUUUUUUUUUAUUUUUUACGCUUUUAAGUAUCCACGCAAAGAGGAAAAGAAAAAAAAAAUAUUUCUAAAAAGUUGAAAUAAACCGUUAGGUA